rnacentral:rRNA from 1 species
GCGGUGCGGCGUGCUACCAUGCAGUCGAACGAUGAUGCCCAGCUUGCUGGGUGGAUUAGUGGCGAACGGGUGAGUAACACGUGAGUAACCUGCCCUUCACUCUGGGAUAACUCCGGGAAACCGGGGCUAAUACUGGAUAUGACUCCUCCUCGCAUGGGGUGGGAGUGGAAAGCUUUUGUGGUGGAGGAUGGGCUCGCGGCCUAUCAGCUUGUUGGUGAGGUAGUGGCUCACCAAGGCGACGACGGGUAGCCGGCCUGAGAGGGCGACCGGCCACACUGGGACUGAGACACGGCCCAGACUCCUACGGGAGGCAGCAGUGGGGAAUAUUGCACAAUGGGCGAAAGCCUGAUGCAGCGACGCCGCGUGAGGGAUGAAGGCCUUCGGGUUGUAAACCUCUUUCAGCUCUGAAGAAGCGAAAGUGACGGUAGGAGCAGAAGAAGCACCGGCUAACUACGUGCCAGCAGCCGCGGUAAUACGUAGGGUGCGAGCGUUGUCCGGAAUUAUUGGGCGUAAAGAGCUUGUAGGUGGUUUGUCGCGUCUGCGGUGAAAUCCCAACGCUUAACGUUGGGCUUGCCGUGGGUACGGGCAGACUAGAGUGUGGUAGGGGAGACUGGAAUUCCUGGUGUAGCGGUGAAAUGCGCAGAUAUCAGGAGGAACACCGAUGGCGAAGGCAGGUCUCUGGGCCAUAACUGACACUGAGAAGCGAAAGCAUGGGGAGCGAACAGGAUUAGAUACCCUGGUAGUCCAUGCCGUAAACGUUGGGCGCUAGGUGUGGGGGCUCAUUCCACGAGUUCCGUGCC